UAACAGCUGUACUAGAGGUUUGUCCUCGAU
rnacentral:piRNA from 1 species